CGUCAAACACUGAUCAGAAUCACAAAAUAUUAGUCAUAGUCAUAUGUAAGAACCCAAAAAGUCAGCUAACUCAACUCACACCUCGUCUAGUUCUGCCUGUGAGUAUGAUCUUCGUGUAUCAAUCUAUAUAUAAACAUGCAAAAUAAAUUAAAUGAAUUAACUGACUAUACAAAUAAACCAAUUAACUCACAAAAUUAAUAUAGUUUGAUAUAAAACAUACCGCAUCGGAUAUGACAAUGCUUCCCCUAGUCACAAUUUCUCUCAAAUACCUCAUGACGUAGUAUCCACACUCAGUACUCCCGACUUGUAGUGGACACUAUAUAAAAGCAACAAAUUUGAAUAACAAAGUAAUCCUUUGAUGUAGUGGACACUAUAUAAAAGCAACAAAUUUCACAAUUCCCACAUUUCAAACAAGGACAACGAAUAAAGAAGCUACUUGUAUUAGAAAAUCCAAAUUUGAUGAAGUUUUCCACACCCAACUCAUAAUCUUUAGACAAUCUACUCUUGUGCAUCCAAGAUUUAUCCAUCAUUGUAAAUCUAAUGAGAAAUAAAGUUAUUGUUUAUUAAUCAACAACAUUUUAUAUUAUAAAAGAGACUCAACCGAUAAAAGUUGAAAUAAAAAAAAAGGGACAAAUAUCGAUUUAUAUCUCCGAACUUUGGAUAGCAUCAAUUUAACUUUUUAUGUAUGCAUCAAUUUAAAUUUUAUGACUGUGGAAGUAAAACAUAAUAAAACAUUUAAAUGGAUACAUACCCAAAAUUGAGAUAAUUGAAGUUCACAUGUGAAAGCAACAUGGCAUAGGAAGAAAGAAAAGAAAAGGAAGUAAAAGGGAGAGAGUAGGGGAGGGUUUUGGGAAGCAACAGGCAAGAGGACUUGACUUUAUAUUCUCAAAUCCCAAAACAAAAACAGCUAUACAAUGAAAGCUUUUUAUAGCCUAAAAUUAGAAAACCCCAUAAAUAAGAAUAAGAAAGAAAGUACUAAGAAGCAUUUAUUCCCUCACACCCAUGACCUCUUCCACCAAAUUCCCCAAUGAAACCUUCGAACCAAACACAUUCAUAUAUAGAUUCCAUGACAAUCACGAUAUACAUUCGACGUCAAGUCUACUUCAAUUCAUAUACAUUCAUAUAUAUUUUCAAUCAACCCACAAUAUACAUUCAACACACAUACAAUUUACAAUCACAGUUCACAAUCACAAUUGAGUCUAGUAGAAAAUCCCUUACUUUCAAAUUUGUUAAGCUCCUUAACCACGUUGAAGUCUAUGAAGAACGAACCUAAACAUUAAGACAAUUUCUCAAUAAUUCUCUUCAAGGCAUCAGUCAUUUAAAUUCAACCCAAUGUGAAUCUUUUUACAACUUACCCAAAUCUUCGCGAAAGAAAUCGAGCAGUAGCUUUGCGAAGAGACGACGUGCGACGGAGAGACCGUAUACAGACGGCCGGAGAGUCGCGCGGCAGUGCAGACAACGGAGGAGAAGGGAUCGGCGGCGGCUGGCUUGGACGGCGGUUGUGAGCGGCGGACGUGGCGGUUACUGCUUCACACGGUGGCUCGGCUUCGACGGAGACAGAACAAGACGCGAGGGAGAGAGAGAGAGAUUUCUUUUUCCUUUUUCUUUUCUUUUUAUUUAAAUUAAAUAUAAAUAAUAAAUAUAUACUAAAACUCCUACUACAAAUUUCUUUCAAAUACUUUAAUUUAAAUUUAAAAACGUCAAAAAAUUUUAAAAAGGUUCUUGACGUUUUAAAAGCGUCAAGAAUUUUUAUAACAAGUUAACCACUCAAAACAAAUAGCACAAGAAGAAACUAAAACAAGAAACUAAAUGUAAUAAAGGAAAGUCGUCAAAAAUAGCAAAUUUGACAAAAUACUAGAUUUUUUUUUUAGAUUUGAUCAAUAAUAUAGACAUUAAUAGACACUGCUUCUAUCAAUAGAAUUGGUAGAUAGUGAUAAGUCUAUCAAUUUCUAUCAUCGAUAGAAUUCAAAAUUUUGCUAUAGUUUGUAAAUAUUUUAAUUUAUUUUACUAUUUUUAAAAAUGCUUCUCUAAUCAAUUCUAUUUUAAACAAAAUUAUGGUUAAUCAUUGUUUUCGUCCGUGUUUCAAUUUUUUUUUUUUAUGAAAAAGAAGGGUUGUUCAUAUGUAUUUAGAACGAAGUAUAGAUUUCAGGUUGAUUAUUAUAUAUAAUACACAUGUUGCAUUUUAAUUUAGUAUAUUGAGAUAUACAUUCCAUAUAAUUUUAGUUCAUGAAUCCUCAUUUAAACAAAACAUAUCAUUUUAGUAUUCUAGAUUAUAGAUGGUUGGAUUAAAGAUGACAGAAAACUUAUUGUUUUGGCAAAAAAAAAAACAGUGAUAGAAAAUCAAUUACUAGUUUAAAUCAAGUAUUAAUAAUGAAAUUUGAGUGCAAAAAAGAAGAAAGACUUUUUAGCAUAAGAUACCAGUAACACCAAAUGAAUAGUUAUAAAAAAAAAAGUUUUAAAAUAAUGGAUACUUGAUAUAUAAAAAAGAUCUAUGACAUAAAUCAUUUUAGCCUAAGAUACCAGUAAGACCAAAUGAAUAGUUAUAAAAAAAGUUUUAAAACAAUGGAACAUGGACCAUAGUCACAUACGGAUACCGUCACAUAUAAUUUUUUAUGUUCUUGUAUUGUUACUACAUAUAAAAACAAAGAAGAUACAGAAAAUUUAGAAUCAUAGAGGAACUUCAAGGUGGUUUUUUCAAACUUCAUAACAAUGAAACUUCGAUGAAAACAUUGUAUAAUCAAAUUCGGGGUUGAAACAUACGUUUUUUUGGGAUGAAGGGUUGGAUAAGUGGUCAUGUGCGUAAAAUGAGUUAGUAUAUACACAAACGAAAAGCAAGAUAACCUUGGACAAGUAACUUAAUUUAAGUUGAAGGCCCAAAUACAUAUAAGAAUACAAAAACAACUAAAAAGCUUUUAACCGGAGAAGUUUAUUACUAAACAAAACUAAUUAAAACUUGGAAAGUUUAUAACUUUCUUUGAUCCACAGAGAUUGAUAAAAGAAAUGUUUGAUUUUCAUUUUGCAAAGUAACAUGUGAUAACUUGAUCGAGAAACAACUAUGUAGUCUUCGAAUUUUAGAGAAGCUCAAUUCUUUCUAAAAAACUUGGAAGAGUGGGUUCUUUUUGGGGUUAAAAUUAAAAGAGACUCAAAUAUGUCAUUAAAAGUAUGUCAUGAUAUUUGAAAACGAGAAAGUUUGGCUAAGUGUCAAGGAAUUAAAGACUAAUCAAUAGAGUUAAAAGUAAGUGAUCAGUUACAAAGGUAAGCGAUCAGGUUAUAAGGUAAGUGACUGGUCAAGGAGCUAAGCGAUUAAGUUGGAAGCUACACGAUCGUUUGAAGGUUGAAGCUAAGCGAUUAUGUUAGAAAGCUAUAAAGAAUCGUGUAAGAGGGGUAAACAAUUGUACAUAAGCUAAACAAUCGUGUAAGAGGGUAAACGAUUAUAUAGAAGCUAAUGAUUGUGUAAAAGGUUGAACAAUUGUGUAGGAAGCUAAACGAUCGUGUAGGAGUUGUAAAAAAUUGUGCAUUGUAGUUCAAAAUUUUAUAGCCUUCACAGUAACAGGUGAGGUGGUGAGGUAAGGUGCCCCUAGUGCAUUCCUAGCAAAUACAAGCAUCGACAAGUACUUCAAAUACUCGAGACUAUUUCCAUCAACAACUUUGAUUGUAUUCUGAUGUCUUUUUUCUCUUAUGCUCGAGAAAAUCCACAUUUAUAUUUUUUUUGGCUAAAAGUAAAAACUAUAGUUGUGAGAAAAAAGUGUCAUUCCAUAAAUUCACGUUAGAGAUGCAUUAUAGAAACAUAAAACAACAAAGAAUAAAAGCAUAUUUUUAUGAGAUCAUUUGAAAUUAUAAAAUCAGAUCGAAACAAAGUGAACGAAUCACAUUUGGAGAAUAAAUUUUAAACAAGUUAAUAUGCAAUCGCCAUGGAAUCCAAUGACAUUCAAUUACAGUACAUAUUUGAGGUUGAUUUCUCUCAAUCAUAAAAUCAUAACAAAAGAAACCUUAUGAAUAGAAGACAAUUUAACUAAAGUUGAAUAAGAACAUACUUUUGAGUGAUAGUGGAGCAAAUCAUUGGUACCAAAAUGCUCAAUGUUAAUGUGAAUCAAUUGGCCACAACUCCGUUCAAUAGCCUACACAUCUCCUUCAAAUCGUAGUCCAUGUCCCACCAAUAUCAUAGGGCUAUCGCAUAUUGAUGAAGCAAAACAGAAGAAUCAGAUGAGAUUAGAGAUGAAGCGGUGAUUAGUAUUUAUCAGAAUGUCAAACCAAUCCAAGAACAUACCUCACAAAUAUUUGGAAAGACGUUUAGGUUUGAUAGGCAAUAAAGUAGAAGCAUAUUGAAAUUAGAGUUGAGAGAGAGGCAGUGUCUAACUCAUAAAGCGUCGUCAUGGUCGUCGUGGGUCGAUGUUCACCAUCAGUCGUGGGUCUUCGUCAUGAAAGGAGAAAUUACAAUGGUCAUCAGUCGUGGUUUUUGCUGCCGUUCAAGUGAGUUUCGUUGAGACAGAGAUAGGAGAUGAAAAGGGUUUGAAGAUAGAAGAAGUGAGACGGAGAGAGGGGAAUAAAAAAAGACUGGUGAACUCCCAAUGCCACCAAUAAUGUGUCGGGAGUUUCCCCACUAUUUUCUGACGCUUUACGGUAUUGCGUCGACAGAUACCAUAUCUUUCGACGUUGAGAGAUCCAAAAUUUCUUCUAGUGUAUCUCAGUUUCUUACCUAUCUCUUUUUGCAUGUUAAUUUCUGUUCUGGAGGAUAAAUUAAAUGGCUUAGAAGCAAAAAAGUUCAUUCUAAUGAACGGUAUGAUCCUAGAAUGGUUCGGCGAUCAAACUACUAUGACAACUUCAAUAAUAAGGGUUAGCCUUCAACACUAUCCACAAAAGACAUCAAUUUUGGCUGCCUGUGUUAUUUUCAAAGUUGAUGGAAGUGAAGGCUUCUAUGAAAAAUAUGAUGUUUUCAUUGAUGGUGAAUCACUAAAAUAUUUCGAGAUCACCGUUUGGCCUUCAUCGAAAUAAAAAUAUGUGGUUAAUAACGACCCCUCUAAUUUUAGCUCCGUGAGCAUGAGUUGUGAAGUCUCUUGGCGUCCAUAUCGACGUUAGAGGGCAGCAAAGGCAAUUGGUGAGUUAGCGGAUACACAGUUGCAAAUUCGUUGUUUCUUGUUUGGUUUCUUAUUAAUAGCUCCCUAAAUGAACUAUCUUAGUGCCUCUGUUCUAGCUUGUUUAGAAUUAUUAAUCAGUUUAAAUGUUUGUUUUUGUAGGAAUUCGAGCAUCACACACAUUCCAGUGGCUUCAAAGGAGAGUAAAGGUCAGAUCUAGUGUGAUCCUGAGACAUCGUCACAAAUCUCCCUCGAACGCACACUCUACAACAACUUGUUCCAGCAUCGAAAAUUGCAACACCAUAAGUUGCAUUGCAAAGCUCUUUGACAGCCAUUAUAAAUAGUUUGCCUUCAUAUUUGGGUAAGAGAGGAGAGUUAUGUAUUGAUUUUAGGAGCUUAAAGCUCGGUUUUGGCCCCUCUUGACCGAAACUCAUGAGAUAUCUUUGUUUAAUAGCUUAAAGAGAUUCAUUGACUGAGAACGCCCUAAACAAUGAUUUUGAGGUUUGUUGGCCAUUUGUUUAGAUUUUAAUCUUUGCCAAAAAGCUUUUGGCUGGUUGCGUUACUGUUUUCAAAGUAGAUGGAGAUUGGUGUGAAGCAAAGGCUAAUUAUUAAAUAUGGUGUGUUCAUUCGUAUCAACUCAUUAGGUUAAAAGUGGACAAUACCAUAUCAUUGUAGAGACAUGUGGAAGUUCGUUGUCUUUAUAACUAUAUUAUAUGACAUAGAUGGUUGGUUGAUAGUACGAUUCCAAGGCAAGAAACUGAAUUAGAAAUUAAAACCCCGCUGGAAAGAGAAAAAAAACAACCAAUUAAAGAAAAACUUGACAGAACAACAAAAUCUUACAUUAUAAAAACAUUCAAUAAAAAUGAAAAACAAUAAAAAUUGGGAAUAAUGGUGUAUGAUCACUCACUGAACUAUCCCUUUCCUUUUUUUCUUGACCUCAAUUAUCAUUUGUAAUGCUCAAAAAGGUCAUCAACAACAUACACACCCAGGCUUCUUAUAAUAACUUUAGCCUUUUUAUUAUAAUUCCGAACCUGAAACGAGACUUCGAUUUUGUGUCGAUUAUUCUCAUUCAAGCAUAUCAACUGUGAUGGAGGAGUUCUUAGUAACAACAUAUGCUCUGAUUUUGACCCACACCAACUUUCCAUAGUAGGCAUCAUAAGCUUUUGACCAUCAAACAAUACUUGAAAAUGAAUAAAAGCCUCAGCAACAAAUGAAUCUGCAUCCACUUUGAAAACAACACACACAACCAAAGCAGGUAUAAUCAUAUCUGAAUUAUGUUGAAAGCUAAAACUUAUUGAACUUUCUGUGGUUUGAUUGUUGCAGAAUUUCGGGAUCUCGCUGUACGUUACGAUUAGCUCUCUUUUGAAGUUCCUUAACUUAAGGUCCUAUAGAAUAAGAUUUAAUAUUCUCAAAAUCAAUGUUAACAAAACAAGAGAGGAGCAUAUAAUAUGAACAAAAUAGAAAUUAGAUGAAUCUUAAAAUAGAGGAACCUGAUUUCUGAACAUCAUAUCGGCAAUGUAGUCGGGGCUUAUUACCAACAAUUCGCAACCACUAGCAUCCAUUCGUUUUAAACAAUGUGGAAUCUUCACAAUGUUUCGAAGAAACUUACAAUUUCUUAGUUCAAGAAGCCUCAAUGAUGUAAAAUUUUUGAGAGAAGGUAGACAACAGAAUUUGUUUCCGGACAAAUUUAGCUCCUUCAAGGUAGUGCAGAAAUUAGAUAAAUUUUCCAAAAAAUCUGAAUUUGAUAUGUUGCAAUUUUGUAGAUCCAAUAUAGUCAAGUUUGAACAUAAGCUUCGUUGGGGAAAGUUUAAGCUUGAUCCCGAGGGAAGCAUGUCGAGUCUAGAACACUCUCGAAGAUCAAGUUCCUUAAGACUCUUUAACAAAUGAAUUUCACUUGGAAGAGAAAUCAGGUUUGUGCAAUAACUAAGGAUCAAAUUCUCAAGCCCAAUAAGAUAUCUAAUUGAUGUGGGUAACUUCCUUAUGGCUGUACCUUUCAAAUUCAUCUCCCUCAAAGACUUCAUAUUUUCAUCAAAUUCUGGAAGUUGUUCAAUCUUAUAACAGUUAGUGAGACUCAAAGAAUCAAGAGACUUCAAUCUGAGGCAACUAGGAAGCUCUUCAAGUUGAUGGCAAAAAUCAAGUUUUAAGGCAAUAAGUUGAUCGAGAGAUCCAACAGACUUGUGAAUCGUUCUUAAAGAGAAGCAGCCCCUAAGAUCAAAUAUCUCAAGGUUUGAUGCAAUUGAAAAGUCAGUAAUUUCCUUAAGAUUUUGACAAUAACUAAGAUUCAAAACUUUAAGAGAUUCGAACUUGAGGUGGCUUGGAAACUUUUCAAAAUAGUUGUCAAAAAGUUGUUCGAUCUUUCGGCAUGAAUCAAGAUUCAUAACUUCAAUAGACUUUGAGUUGCUGAUGUAUCUUGGAAGCCUUUCAAGAAUUUUACAUCCUUCAAGGUCCAGGAUAACAAGUUUAUCAAGAAAGCGUCCAACUGCAGAGUCGUGAAUUAUUCUCAAGUGAUAGCAUUCUCUAAGAUGUAGUUCUUUAAGGUUUGACGAUGCCGAUAAGUCAGGAAUUUCUUUUAGCUUUAUGCAUCCACUUAGAUUCAAAACUUCAAGAGACUUUAACAUGAGGAAGCUACUUGGAAGCUUUUCUAGAUUUUCACAGCCUUCGAGGUCCAAGGUAACAAGCUUACUAAGAGAAGCAACAGAUCCAUGAAUCAUUUUUAAACGUUUGCAACUUAAAAGAUAUAAUUUUUCAAGGUUUAAUGCUGCAGAGAAGUCAGGGGUUUCCUCUAAUAACCGCCAAUAACUCAGAUCAACAUGCUUCAACAUUUUGCAAUCCUAAAACACAUGGAAAAAAUCAUUAAAAACACUUGCAGUGAUAUCAAGCACACAAGUAGAAGUUGUAUAAUUUAAUUACCUCAAAUAUAAUCCCUGGAUGUUUGUUGGAUACACCAUUUAUGACUAGUCCAACUAGCCCGCCAUUCACAACAAAGCUUAUAGGGAAAUACCAUCGAACACUAGAUGAUGAGUACUCAAUCCACUUAAUAUUAGGUAAAUACUUGAAUAUAUUUGUAGGCAAUUUUGCUGCAUUUUGAAGAAUAAGCAAUCUAAGAUUUUCCAUGUUUCUAAAUGCUUCUGCUUCAACAAUCAGUGAACCGUUGUUGCGCAAGUCUAGCUUUAUGGCUUUAACUUUAUGAGUUCCCUACAAAGUUAAAUAUGAAGUCAUUUUAACAUUAUUAACAAGUAACCAAGCUGACCCAUUUUUUUUAUCACAAUGUCUUUGGAAAUAAGUAAACGAAAAUAAUUUACAUAAGGUUACUCACUGAUUUUUCUAUCAACAUCUUGACAGCUUCUUUUGCCACCCACAGCCUACUCCUUUUUUCUGGCUUAAAAGAUUUACGACGUACAAUCAUCUGACCCAUUUGUCGAAUUAAAUCAUGCAUUUGUAUCUUGCCGUCUUCAACCGUAACAAGAGAAAGAUCCAUGAGAAUUAUAAUUCUUGAUUCUAGAUAAGGAUCACAUGCCUUUAACACAUUCUUACUAUAGCUAACAUCCUCUCCCACAAAAAAACAACAAAUAUCAAGGAAAAUUUCCUUUACUGGGGGGUUUUCUGGAAGCCUCUUAAAACUUAUCUGGAAAACAGCUUCAAUACCUGGUUCGGGGAAGUUUUUAAGUUCAUCUAAUUUGCUUUUCCAUAUUAUUUGAUCUCUCUUACAAAGGAGAGAGCCCAAAAUAACAAGAGCUAGAGGAAGACCGUUGCAAUAACGUACUAGUUCUGGAAGUUCCGAAUAAUUCCUUGAUGGAUGGCUUUGCUUAAAAGCAUGCCAACAAAAAAGCUCAAGAGAUUUAUCACAAUCCAACAAUUGAAUAGGAUGUAUUUUAUCAAAUGAAUAUGUUUCGAGUAAAUGUCUAUCUCUUGUUGUCACAAUGAUUUUGCUACCUCGACCGAACCAAUCACGUCCACCUACCAAUGCAUCUAGUUGAUCGUCCUUAUCCACGUCAUCCAAAACCAUAAGAACUUUCCUUGAGCACAAUCGAUCCUUUAUGAUAUUCAUUCCUUUGUCCACAUUGUCAACCUUCAAGUUAUUAUCCUUGAAGAUCUCAUUGAGUAAUUUUUCUUGCAGUUGAACUAGGCCGUUGAAUUGCUCUGAAGUUUCUCUAACAUUUGAAAGAAAGCAACAAGCUUCAAAUUGAUAAGUGAUUUUGUUGUAUAAAGCUUUGGCCAAAGUUGUCUUACCAAUGCCUCCCAUCCCAUGUAUCCCCACCAUGUUAACACCAUUAUCUGACACACCAUGGGAGGCUAAUUCCUCAAUAGCUUUAAGUUGAGAAUCGAUUGCAACAGGAUGCUUGGCUACAUUUAGUAAUUGUGUUUGUUUUAAUAUAGACACCUUCUUAACAAGGUCUUGAAUAAGAUGAGCUUCAUUAUUCUUCCUGUCAUCGUUUGAUUACACAUCAUACACGGACACAUAGUGAUGAAAAAUAAAAUAAGAAAUAGUAAAUAAAUAUAGGAAGAUUGCAUAAAAAAAUCUUUAGAAAGAAACAUAUGAAGAAACCUAUUUUUUAUAUAUUGCGAAUAUGGCAAAAUUAUUGAUAUCAGACCGCUCUAUUAAAUGGUAAUCAUAGUGCUAUCGAAGGGUUAUUAAACGGUAAUUAUAGGGUUAUUGGCUUUUAAUUUUGCUACUUUGACAAUUUAAAAAAUGUAGUAACAUGGACCUUAUUAUCAUUCAUUUUUUGCUAUUUUUGCAAGGGUCCAAUAAAUAAAUGGUCAUUUGUAUUGACUAAAGAAAAAAAAUAUUUUUAAAAUUGUCAUUUUUUUUUUAUUUAAAGCCCUGUGGUAAAAGGGAAAUUGUAAUGAUAGUAUUUUGAGAAUAUGAAAUAACAAAUAUAGUAUAUUGUUUUAGAAUUUUAUAAAUAUGACAAAAUUUUCACUUUUUAAAAUAUUUUCUAUCUUAAUUAUUCUCAAACUACCCUUCAAUAAUUGAUUUUUUCUCCUCUUAAUUUUAGUGUCUUAAUCAUCUCAAUAUGUUUGAUAUACUUACUACAUGAUUUUUUAUUUUUUAAAAUUUUUUAUACAAUUUAUUAUAGUACUAUUAAGUAUGUAUGAAUGAUGUAACUCAGUGUAUCAUUAUCAAGUAUAUCAAUAAUAUAUUAUUAAAGCAUAUCAGCAGGUAAGUAAAGCAAAUCAUUAUUAAGUAUAUAUAUAUGAAUCAAGUUUACAAGUGUAUAUGAAUGGCAUAUCAAGUUUAUAAGUAUGACUUCAAGCAUAUUAAGUGUAUUUAAUCAAUCAAGUGUAUCAGUGAAGAAUAAUAAGUGUUUUUAGAGUACAUCGAGUGUACCAAACAUAUUGCGUGUAUCAAACAUAUCAAAUUUGUUGAGUGUACCAAUGAAGUAUAACAAGUUUAUUAGCAGUGCAUCAAGUGUACUAAUAAAGCAUAACAAGUUUAUUAGCAGUGCAUCAAGUGUACCAAACUUAUCAAUGAAGUUUUAAGUGUACCAAAGCCUAAAGGGUAUCAAAGUGUAUAAAGAAAAAUCAAGUGUAACAAAAGUAUUAGGUGUAUCAAAUACUAUCGGGUUUAUCAAAGAGUAUUGUGGUGCAUCAAGUGUAUCAAGGUCUAAAAGUUAUUAAGAAGUAUAAAAUAUAUACCAAGUGUAUGAAAAAGUAUUGAUGUAUCAAAUGAUAUUAGGUGUAUUAAACGUGUAUCAGUAACAAAGUCAUUUGUGACAUGUGACAUCUUGUAUAUGUGGAUUGAAUUUUCUUUUUGCCAUUUCUUCAAAUAAUAAAUUUGUGUCCUAUGAACUUAAUUAUUAUAAUUUGUUUGAUCUUUUUUGCAAGUGUCUACUAUAAUAGAUCAUGUCAAUUAUCGCUAAUAUAAGCUCAUGUAUAGUACUUAAAAGUUAAGUUGAUGUUGAGAUUAAGUAUUUUAAUAUCAAAAUUAGAAUUGACAGGACUCUCUCUCAGAGCAGACAACGUUCACUCAACAAGGGAAAUCAUGUUCUUAGAAAUGUAAAAGAUAAUUUUACUUGUUUGGAAAGCCCGCGACUUUUUAGAAAGCAGGCGAUUUUUUCUUUUUCUAGUUCUUAGGCGAGUUUAGUCAAAUUCCCCUAUAACACUCGUUUAAGAGAGAAGAAGUAAAAGAAAUAUGAAAAAUAAAAUAAAAAGUCCAAAAAUAAUAAUACCAAUAAUUUCCAAGAUCCCAACCAGACAAAGUAGCAGCAGUGGUCAAAGCCUCCUUCCAUGGUUGAAUCUUGUUGGUCAUUAACGGAUUUGUUUCAUAUUUGGCAAACGCUUCACCAAAAAUACCAGUUUGUUUUACAACCUCAGACGGACUAACAUUGUAGAAGACUGGCAGAACUGUUUGUUUCUUGGAUCUCAUACACUCAAUUAUUUUCACCACUUCAUCCAAACACCAAGUGGAAGAUGCAUAAUUUUGGGAGAAAAUAAUGAUGGAAAUCCUAGACCCCUCUAUAGAUUUGAGAAGAGAUUUAGAAAUUUGUUUACCCCUAUCUAGCUUGUCAUCUAUGAAGAAAUUGACACCCUCUCGACGUAAGGCCAAAUCAAGAUGACUGAUGAACUUGUCUCGAGUAUCCUCUCCUCUAAAACUCAAAAACACAUCAUAACUCCACUUCGAAUUUGAAGAACAAGACGAUGAUGAUUCUGCUCCAUUAACUGAAGAAGAACCCAUCCGAAUUCUAAAAUGGUCAGAAGUAAAAGUUCAGCUAAUUUGAGAGGAGAGCAAAGAACAACGCGGUUUCUCUUUUUCUAGUGAAUAAAUGAAUAAUUUAUGCAAGUUAGAAAAAACAAUUCAACUAUUUUGAUUAUAGUAAAUUUUAAAUUUAAGAACACAUGCAUCAAUGUCAAGUUCUUCGUGAGCAAAAGAAUAUUUCAACUUUAUGGUUAUCUACCAUAAAAAAGUAUUUUGUCUAUUUAGACCGUGUACAAGUAAAUUCAUUAGUUUUUUAGUAGAGAAAGUUGCAAAUUUAGCAAUUAGAUUCAAAAUAAUUAAAUAUACACCAACAUUUUAAAAAACUUACAAAUAUAACAAAAUUUGUCAAAUUCUGUCAAUGAUAAGAGUCUAUCAUCAAUAAACCAUGUUGCAAAUAUUGGUCUAUCACUGAUAGACUAGAAUCAAUAGACCAUGUUGCAAAUAUUGGUCUAUCACUCAUAGACUGAGUCUAUCAGCGAUAGUUUUGCUAUAUUUGCAAUUUUUUAAAAUGUUGUUAUACCCUUAAUUAUUAUUGCUAAAAGGCCAUCAAUUACAAUUAUUCUUUUAAUAAACAGAAAUAUCAAUGGAAAUUUUCCUUGGGCUUCAAGUUUUUCGUAACCUAACUUCAACAUCUUGAGGUUUCAACAAUCUGGUUUCAUAUGGCAAAUUAAAUAUUGUUGGAAAUUCCCUAGUAUUGACUAAUGCCUCUUAUAAGAAUAGUAAUAGAGUUUUUCUUUUUUUGAAAAUAUUGAGAAGUCAAGAUUGUUAAUAGGUGUAUCGUGGAUAUCUCAUCAACUAGAUUGACAUUUUUUAAGUACCUUCAGCAUGUCCCAAGACUAAAGAUUACUCAUUGAACAAUGAAAAGGUACGAACCAUCUCUUCAGUACCCUCAUCAAUGUAUUUCAUAUAGUCCCUAUACGGAAUAUAUUGAUAGGUACAAACCAUCUCUUCAAUGCUCUCAUCAAUGGUAGUGCAUACACUAGUAGAAAAGUGGUCUACUAUGACAGUUGUAUACAUCCCAAAUUGAAAGGAAAAAAGAAAAAACUGUCACAAAAGCUAAAAAACCGCGUUUUUGGCGGAAAAAGACGGAAUUUUUCGGAUUUUACUUUCCGCGAC
rnacentral:lncRNA from 1 species